GAGGGGGGUUUAACCAACAAGAACUGCUAAUUCCUGUAUCUGGGCUUAAACUCCCAGCCCCCUUG
rnacentral:tRNA from 1 species